UCAAUGUGGUAAAGCCUUUGCAUAUCAUGGUUAUCUCCAAGUACAUAAAAGAAUACAUAGUGGAGAGAAGCCCUAUGUAUGUGAUCGGUGUGAUAAAGCCUUUGCAUAUCAUAGUUAUCUCCAAGUACAUAAAAGAAUACAUACUGGAGAGAAUCUCUAUGAAUGUGAUCAAUGUGGUAAAGCCUUUGCAUCUCAUAGUUCUCUCCAAGUACAUAAAAGAAUACAUACUGGAGAGAAGCCCUAUGAAUGUAAUCAAUGUGGUAAAGCCUUUGUAGGUCAGAAUAAACUUAAAAGGCAUGAAAGAAUUCAUACUGGAGAGAAACCUUACAAAUGUAAUGAAUGUGGUAAAGCCUUUGUAUGUAACGCUUAUCUCCGAAAACAUAAAGCAACACAUACUACAGUGAAACCUUAUGAAUGUAAGUAAUUUAGUAAAUUCUUUGCCUCUCAUGAUCAACUUUGACAACAUGAAAGAAUUCAUACUGGAAAGAAACCUUAUGAAUGUAGUCAAUAUGGUAAAGCAUUUUCACAAUCAAGCCACCUCCAACUACAUAAAAGAAAACAUACAUACUAAAGAGUAACCCUAUGAAUGUAACCAGUGUAGUAAAGCCUUUACUGUGAUCUUCAAGGGUAUGGUGGUUUAAAUAUACUUGGCCCAUGGCAAGUGUCAGUGUUAGGAGGUAUGGCCGUUUUGGAGUAGAUGUGGCCUUUGAGGAAGUAUGUCACUGUGGAGAGGGGAUGGGCUUUCAGACCCCAUGCUUAAACUCUGCCCAGGGCAGAAGAGUCUUCUGGCUGCCUUCUGAUCAAGAUGUAGAACUCUCUCCUCCAGCACCAUGUCUGCUCGGACACUGACAUUUCUUCCACCUUGAUAAUAGACUGAACCUCUGAAUCUGUAUACCUCCCCUCCCCCCAAUUAAAUGUCCUUUGUUGCCUUGGUCAUGGUAUCUUUUCACAGCAUUAAAACCCAAAUUAACACAA
rnacentral:lncRNA from 1 species